CGGUUUAAUAAGUCUUUGGUGAAAUCCUGUAGCUUAACUAUGGGAAUUGCUGAGGAUACUGUUAGGCUUGAGGUCGGGAGAGGUUAGCGGUACUCCCAGGGUAGGGGUGAAAUCCUGUAAUCCUGGGAGGACCACCUGUGGCGAAGGCGGCUAACUGGAACGAACCUGACGGUGAGGGACGAAAGCUAGGGGCGCGAACCGGAUUAGAUACCCGGGUAGUCCUAGCCGUAAACGAUGCGGACUGGGUGUUGGGAUGGCUUUGAGCUGUUCCGGUGCCGAAGGGAAGCUGUUAAGUCCGCCGCCUGGGA
rnacentral:rRNA from 1 species